GGUCCCCUCGUCUAAAUGGCAAGGACACAGCCCUUUCAAGGCUGAAAUGCUCGGUUCAACUCCGGCGGGGAUUA
rnacentral:tRNA from 1 species